GUCAGAGUGAUGUAACAGGAAGCUCUGAUGUUUCCCUUCUGCUGCUGAUCACUUACAAUCUGACAACACUUCCAAUCUUCUCAGAACAGCCCCUCUCUCUCCAGCAGAGUGUCACCUCCUGCCUUAGGACCAUCAAGCUCAGCUAACUGGAUCUCACUCUGCCUGCAGGAUCACAUUGCAAGGCUUUCAUUCUUCUCCACCUUGCCUUGGGGGCAGAUCUCUUCUGUAGAAUCUCAGAAAAUCAAAUUCCAUCCUAAGAGUAUUUCACCAAGAAUUUCUUUAGGAGCUGUGCUGGGGUCCUACGAUGGUACACCAGCCACUUGUGCUGCCACCUGUGAAAACUGUGGAUGGUCCUACUUUCAGGUCAUGACCCCUAGAUUUAAGAAAUUCCCCAAGACUAUGUCAAAUAUGAUCCAAGAGAAAAUGUGAUUUGAGUCUGGAGACAGUUGUGCAUAUCACCUAAAAAUAUCCAGGUUAGCAGAUAGAAGAGAAACAAUAUUCUGAAGAUUGCUAAAAUUGAAAAGAAAGAUUGC